UUACCAGGUCAAGACAUGGGCGUGAUUGACAGGCUAAUGACUUUUCUCGAUUCCAUGGAUGGUGGUGCAUGGUCGCACUUAGUUGGUGCAGUGAUUUGUCAGGUUUAUUCCGGUAACGAACGAGACCUCGGCCUUGUAAAUAGCUAUGCUGCUUACAGGGACAUUGGCGGCUACGCCAAGGAAGCUCGAGGCAAUUGCAGAUCUGGAAUGCCCUUAGAUGUCCUGGGUCGCACGCGUGCUACAAUGACGCCACGAACGAGCUUGCGUGAUGAAAGUUACGCAUAAUCAGCAGUCGGCGUCUUAAGGGAUAGUCUCUUGUAACUGUGGGACACCAACUAGGAAUGUCUCGUAAGCACAAGUCAACAUCUUGUGUUGAUUACGUCCCUGCUCUUUGUACACACCGCCCGUCGCUCCUACCGAUCGAGUGUUUAGGUGAAUUUGAUGGACGUAAGGAAGUCAAAUAAACCUGAGCACUAGAGAAGAGAAGUCGAGAAGAAAAC
rnacentral:rRNA from 1 species